UCAAACUUGGUCAUUUAGAGGAAGUAAAAGUCGUAACAAGGUUUCCGUAGGUGAACCUGCGGAAGGAUCAUUACCGAGUUUUUGACGCAAGUCAAACUCCCACCCUUUGUUUACUCAAAAUGUCUUCUUCGGCGAGACGUCUUUUUGGAGCCGCUGACAGUUUUUUUGACUCAGUCGAAACUGUGAGUGAGUGCUCGCCGGAGACCUUUUUACUCUUUUAUUUUGAAGUCUGAGUCUACAAACAAAUAAAACAAAACUUUCAACAACGGAUCUCUUGGUUCUGGCAUCGAUGAAGAACGCAGC
rnacentral:misc_RNA from 1 species